CAUUUUAUUAGUUUAUUGCAGUUUUUGAUUGAAGUAACACAUUAUAUUAUAUGUACAUGUUGUUUAUUUUUAAUUUGCAAAGUUAAAAUAUUUCAAAUUCUAGGUACUCUUGCAAUAAUACUUUAAUUAUACCAAAACUUUGUUUUUGGAUUAUAAUUCUAUAGGUCCUGGUUCAAAGUUUAUAAUUUGAUUAUUGGGAAGCCCAUAGUUAACCAUUUCUUUCUAUAUGGCAUUGGUGGGAAUAUCUUGCUGACCAAGUUUUAACCAUAAACUUUGUCUUCUUUGUCUACUGCAAGUGAAGCCUUUAACAUGAUAAAUUUCUAUUUUUUCUUGAUUUAAAGGAAAGGAAAGUAUUUACAAAAUUAUA